rnacentral:rRNA from 1 species
CGUAGGUGGCAAGCGUUGUCCGGAUUUAUUGGGUUUAAAGGGUGCGUAGGCGGUUUUCUAAGUCAGCAGUGAAAUACGGCAGCUCAACUGUCGAGGUGCUGUUGAUACUGGGGAACUUGAGUACUGAUGAGGUAGGCGGAAUGGACGGUGUAGCGGUGAAAUGCUUAGAGAUCGUCCAGAACACUGAUAGCGAAGGCAGCUUACUAAGGAGUAACUGACGCUGAGGCACGAAAGUGUGGGGAUCAAACAGGAUUAGAUACCCUGGUAGUCCACACUGUAAACGAUGAUUACUCGAUGUGUGUGAUACACGGCACGCGUCUUAGCAAAAGCGAUAAGUAAUCCACCUGGGGAGUACGCCGGCAACGGUG